AGCAGUCGCCGCGGUAAUACAGAGGGUGCGAGCGUUAAUCGGAUUUACUGGGCGCAAAGCGUGCGUAGGCGGCUUCUUAAGUCGGAUGUGAAAUCCCUGAGCUUAACUUAGGAAUUGCAUUCGAUACUGGGAAGCUAGAGUAUGGGAGAGGAUGGUAGAAUUCCAGGUGUAGCGGUGAAAUGCGUAGAGAUCUGGAGGAAUACCGAUGGCGAAGGCAGCCAUCUGGCCUAAUACUGACGCUGAGGUACGAAAGCAUGGGGAGCAAACAGGAUUAGAUACCCGAGUAGUCCCUGUCUCUUAUAC
rnacentral:rRNA from 1 species